UACGUAGGGUGCGAGCGUUAAUCGGAAUUACUGGGCGUAAAGCGUGCGUAGGCGGUUCGCUGUGUCCGAUGUGAAAGCCCCGGGCUUAACCUGGGAAUGGCAUUGGAAACUGGCGGGCUUGAGUGCGGCAGAGGGAGGUGGAAUUCCGCGUGUAGCAGUGAAAUGCGUAGAGAUGCGGAGGAACACCGAUGGCGAAGGCAGCCCCCUGGGUCGACACUGACGCUCAGGCACGAAAGCGUGGGGAGCAAACAGG
rnacentral:rRNA from 1 species